GGAUUAAAAGCCAAUGAAGGUGUUCGAUUGUUAAUCGAAAGUUUGUAUUUUUUUUAUACUUAAUCCA
rnacentral:tRNA from 1 species